UUUCAGCUCAGUAAGGCUCCCAUUAAAUGUAUGGUCGGGCUUUAAAGCAGUUUAACCCCUAGUAAUUGCUGUCAAUAAAGCAAAGUCCUGACUAUAUAGUGUAAUGUUAAGCACAUGCGGCCAGAAUGUUAUAUAGUAAUCAGGCAAUGUAAGUCAGCGAUAAAUCUGAGCUAUUGGCAUUAUAACAGCGCCUAAUAAGGCCCUGGCAUGUAGGUCAGUAACAUAUCCCAUGUUUGGACCUGCCCCGGCUAGGCCUCACCAAACUCAUAAAAUGAAAAAGAAAAUAUAAAAGAAAUUAAAUAAAAGUAAGCCUUCAUA